GACGAACGCUGGCGGCGUGCUUAACACAUGCAAGUCGAACGGAAAGGCCCUGCUUUUGUGGGGUGCUCGAGUGGCGAACGGGUGAGUAACACGUGAGUAACCUGCCCUUGACUUUGGGAUAACUUCAGGAAACUGGGGCUAAUACCGGAUAGGAGCUCCUGCUGCAUGGUGGGGGUUGGAAAGUUUCGGCGGUUGGGGAUGGACUCGCGGCUUAUCAGCUUGUUGGUGGGGUAGUGGCUUACCAAGGCUUUGACGGGUAGCCGGCCUGAGAGGGUGACCGGCCACAGUGGGACUGAGAUACGGCCCAGACUCCUACGGGAGGCAGCAGUGGGGAAUAUUGCACACUGGGCGGAAGCCUGAUGCAGCAACGCCGCGUGCGGGAUGACGGCCUUCGGGUUGUAAACCGCUUUCGCCUGUGACGAGGCGUGAGUGACGGAAAUGGGUAAAGAAGCACCGGCUAACUACGU
rnacentral:rRNA from 1 species